GAUAAACGCUGGCGGCGUGCCUUAUGCAUGCAAGUCGAACGAGGCUAGAAUUUCGGUUCGAAACCUAGUGGCGGACGGGUGAGUAACACGUACGUGACCUGUCCAGAAGUGGGGAAUAACCAGCCGAAAGGUUGGCUAAUACCGCAUACGGUCACUUCUUAGAAGGAGAUGACCAAAGUCGCAUGACGCUGUUGGAGGGACGUGCGACGGAUUAGCUAGUUGGUGUGGUAACGGCGCACCAAGGCGAUGAUCCGUAGCUGGUCUGAGAGGAUGGUCAGCCACACUGGGACUGAGACACGGCCCAGACUCCUACGGGAGGCAGCAGUGGGGAAUUUUGGACAAUGGGGGCAACCCUGAUCCAGCAAUGCCGCGUGAGUGAAGAAGGCCUUCGGGUUGUAAAGCUCUUUUGUCAGGGAAGAAACGGUAGUAGCGAAUAACUAUUACUAAUGACGGUACCUGAAGAAUAAGCACCGGCUAACUACGUGCCAGCAGCCGCCGUAAAAC
rnacentral:rRNA from 1 species